rnacentral:piRNA from 1 species
UAGCCUCGAUGGUCUUUACAAUUUGGC